GAGGGUGUAACUCAGUGGUAGAGCGUGUGCUUAGCAUGCACGAGGUCCUGGAGUCAAUCCCCAGUAUCUCCA
rfam:Camelus ferus unplaced genomic scaffold scaffold769, whole genome shotgun sequence.